rnacentral:rRNA from 1 species
AUGGCCAAGUCCGGUGCCCGUAAGGACGCCGCGCAAGUCCGGCCAUCGUCCACCUCGCCGCCGCCGCAGCACUCCCCAGGCGCCACAACAAGCUCGUUCGCCAGCCGCUCUCCACAGCUUCUCUUCUACCCUGGCGCCCCGACAAGAUCCUCGGCCAGCCCCUCGACACCGCCACGCCUGUACCCGCCUCUCAUGGAAUCCUCCUCAGCCAACCCUACAUGGUAUAAAAUUUCUACUUUAAUUCAAUCUUUGGCAAUUACAAUUUCUGUAGCUCGAGUAUGCAACAUUAUGUAA